AGAGUUUGAUCAUGGCUCAGAUUGAACGCUGGCGGCAGGCCUAACACAUGCAAGUCGAACGGUAACAGGAAACAGCUUGCUGUUUCGCUGACGAGUGGCGGACGGGUGAGUAAUGUCUGGGAAACUGCCUGAUGGAGGGGGGAUAACUACUGGAAACGGUAGCUAAUACCGCAUAACGUCGCAAGACCAAAGAGGGGGACCUUCGGGCCUCUUGCCAUCAGAUGUGCCCAGAUGGGAUUAGCUAGUAGGUGGGGUAACGGCUCACCUAGGCGACGAUCCCUAGCUGGUCUGAGAGGAUGACCAGCCACACUGGAACUGAGACACGGUCCAGACUCCUACGGGAGGCAGCAGUGGGGAAUAUUGCACAAUGGGCGCAAGCCUGAUGCAGCCAUGCCGCGUGUAUGAAGAAGGCCUUCGGGUUGUAAAGUACUUUCAGCGGGGAGGAAGGGAGUAAAGUUAAUACCUUUGCUCAUUGACGUUACCCGCAGGAGAAGCACCGGCUAACUCCGUGCCAGCAGCCGCGGUAAUACGGAGGGUGCAAGCGUUAAUCGGAAUUACUGGGCGUAAAGCGCACGCAGGCGGUUUGUUAAGUCAGAUGUGAAAUCCCCGGGCUCAACCUGGGAACUGCAUCUGAUACUGGCAAGCUUGAGUCUCGUAGAGGGGGGUAGAAUUCCAGGUGUAGCGGUGAAAUGCGUAGAGAUCUGGAGGAAUACCGGUGGCGAAGGCGGCCCCCUGGACGAAGACUGACGCUCAGGUGCGAAAGCGUGGGGAGCAAACAGGAUUAGAUACCCUGGUAGUCCACGCCGUAAACGAUGUCGACUUGGAGGUUGUGCCCUUGAGGCGUGGCUUCCGGAGCUAACGCGUUAAGUCGACCGCCUGGGGAGUACGGCCGCAAGGUUAAAACUCAAAUGAAUUGACGGGGGCCCGCACAAGCGGUGGAGCAUGUGGUUUAAUUCGAUGCAACGCGAAGAACCUUACCUGGUCUUGACAUCCACGGAAGUUUUCAGAGAUGAGAAUGUGCCUUCGGGAACCGUGAGACAGGUGCUGCAUGGCUGUCGUCAGCUCGUGUUGUGAAAUGUUGGGUUAAGUCCCGCAACGAGCGCAACCCUUAUCCUUUGUUGCCAGCGGUCCGGCCGGGAACUCAAAGGAGACUGCCAGUGAUAAACUGGAGGAAGGUGGGGAUGACGUCAAGUCAUCAUGGCCCUUACGACCAGGGCUACACACGUGCUACAAUGGCGCAUACAAAGAGAAGCGACCUCGCGAGAGCAAGCGGACCUCAUAAAGUGCGUCGUAGUCCGGAUUGGAGUCUGCAACUCGACUCCAUGAAGUCGGAAUCGCUAGUAAUCGUGGAUCAGAAUGCCACGGUGAAUACGUUCCCGGGCCUUGUACACACCGCCCGUCACACCAUGGGAGUGGGUUGCAAAAGAAGUAGGUAGCUUAACCUUCGGGAGGGCGCUUACCACUUUGUGAUUCAUGACUGGGGUGAAGUCGUAACAAGGUAACCGUAGGGGAACCUGCGGUUG
rnacentral:rRNA from 1 species